CAUCAUCCGUGGCCUGCAAAGAUCACAAAGCAGCUAUGACGGUAAAUUCGUGCCAAAGAACAUGAAUCUUUCUUUCGAGCGAAAGAUACCAUCCAAAUCCAGAGUGUGAGUUAUUUAAGAUGAGUCUUGACUAAUCCUCCCCGGGAUUAGAAAAAAGGGAAAAUAGAUUUUAUCUAGGAGACCGGAUGAAGCUAGUCGGUCAGCGCUAUAAUGGCCCCAAAGGCGGUGAAGUGAGCUCCAACUCCGCCGCCUGUCAUCUAGCGGUGGAGAGCGCGGGGGGGACAGGGCGAGCGAUAAAAGAGUAGAAGGGGAGAGAGGCGAGCGACGAGAUCGCCUCUCUCUUCUCUCACGCCUCCGGUGCCCGCUGUUCCUCUCCUUUGCCUCCUCCUCCGCCGCGGCCGAGCGGCGUCCUGCCUUUUAUCAGGAGAUCUAGGGUUCAUCUAGAUCUCCCUUUCGGAGGCUUUUGCGGGAGCUAGGGCUCCGGCGUCGCGGCGAACGGUGAUCGGAGCGUGAGUUCUGGGGGUCUGGGGGAUCUUGGAGCGUGAUCUUGAGAUCUGGAGGGGGGUUCCGGCGAGGCAGGGCUCAGCGAGGACGUGUUAGGAAACAACUAAGAUGGAGAAUUGCCCUCGUAGAUUCAGUGCCAUUGGGAAAUUAUUUGCCGAAUCCACUCCUGAUACAAAAUCAAGAUUUUGUCAGGCUGGUGAUUUUCCAUCUCCUGGAACUGCAGUCAUAUGUCCUGAACCUCGUCGUGCUAUUGGUGUUGCUUGUGUCAUUGACAAGCUUGACAGAUUCAGUUCCAAGUCAAAUGGGUGAGUUACGUGAGAAAUACCGUCUUCAUUUUUGCUUAGUUUUUUGGCUACAUAUACGGUUUUUAUCUUAUAAAGGCAGCAGCACACGGUUCAUGCGAGCAAUAACAAUUUCUCUCUCUACUUGUGCCGACCUUUUACAGUGUGCAUAUGAACUAUUUUGUAAUUUACCUGCUGUCUAUGCAAUAUAUAAUUUUUCAUUUGUUAGAUAAUAGUUUACCACUUUCAUGUUUUUUUUUUUUUUUGACUUUGGCUGAAGAUUUCAAGAGCAUUGUGCUUUUUGGCUAGCAUUUGUUCAUCUUUAUAGGGUUUCCAACUACCAUCAAUUAAAGCAGUAUAUUUUCUCUUAUUCAAAUCGUUAAGCUAUUGUUGUCUAAAAAUUGCUAGCAAACUGGCAUAACUAAUGCAUGUUAAAGAAAAGGAUUCAUAUUAUAAAACAGAAUUUAAGAAACAAAAACUUUUUAAAAAUAAAUUUGAAGAAAAAAGUUUUAAGGUCGAAGUACAAUAGAAUGAAAUAAGAUAAAU